GCGAAUGGCUCAUUAAAUCAGUCAUAAUUUACUGGAUCUCGAUUCAUCCUUACUUGGAUAACUGUGGUAAUUCUAGAGCUAAUACAUGCAUAUAAGCUCUGAUCCGCGUUUCGGCGCGGUGAUGGGCGCAUUUAUUAGACCCAAACCGAUCUACCUAUUCCUUGUGAAUGGUAAUGGGGACUCUGAAUAACUCANCCGAGCGCGAGGGUCUUCGGACCAGCGCCGUAUCCAUCGAGAGUCUGCCUUAUCAGCUAUAUUGUAAGGUAUUGGCUUACAAUUGCUGUGACGGGUAACGGGGAAUCAGGGUUCGAUUCCG
rnacentral:rRNA from 1 species